rnacentral:lncRNA from 10 species
UCGCUCACGCUGGGAGCUGUAGACCGGAGCUGUUCCUAUUCGGCCAUCUUGGCUCCUCCCCGCUGGUUUGGUCUUUUCCAAGUUUAUUGGCGUAGUGCUCCUGGACCACCUCAUAUCACCAGCACCCUCUACCCAAGGUCCUGGAGCCAACACUGGAGUAAAAGAGCACAAGAGAACUCCUUAGAGGUGGAAGGACUGGCGCAUCUCAUGAGAGCUAAGCAUGACAGAUAUCAACAGGCGGGCUUCCUAGGAUGAUUUCUCAGCCAACAGUCCAAGACCUUUUGUUGAUUUCAGCCCCACUUAGCCAAGACCUCAAGUAUAAAUUCUGAUAAUUAUGGAGAAAUCAACUGCUAUUUUAUACCGAUUCUGUUAAAAAAAAAAAAGUUUUGUAACUAUUAAAAUAAUUUUCUGAAAAAAAAAGAAAAAUAUAAAAAUUAGCUGGAUGUGGAGGCACAUGCCUGUGGUUCCAGCUACCAGGGGGCUGAGGCAUGAGAAUUCUUGAACCCAGGAGGCAGAGGUUGCAGUGAGCCGAGAUCAUGCCACUGCACUCCAGUCUGGGUGACAGAGGAAGAUUCUGUCUCUUAAAAAAAAUUAAUAUAUCAAUCAUUUUGAAUUGUAAUCUUUCUGUAAUGCUUCCUUUUAACAUUUACAAACAGAGGAAACUAAACUAUUGAAAUUUUGUGAAGUAGUAAAAUUAAGAUUUCAGCUGUGCCCCUUAUCCUGCAAUACUCAUUUGUCAGUGCCUUUAGGACUCAUGUCACAUGGAUUAAACUUAGAGUGAAACACAAAGCCAAAAUUAUGGCCAGG